UCAGCUUGUUGGUGAGGUAAUGGCUCACCAAGGCGACGACGGGUAGCCGGCCUGAGAGGGCGACCGGCCACACUGGGACUGAGACACGGCCCAGACUCCUACGGGAGGCAGCAGUGGGGAAUAUUGCACAAUGGGCGAAAGCCUGAUGCAGCGACGCCGCGUGAGGGAUGACGGCCUUCGGGUUGUAAACCUCUUUCAGCAGGGAAGAAGCGAAAGUGACGGUACCUGCAGAAGAAGCGCCGGCUAACUACGUGCCAGCAGCCGCGGUAAUACGUAGGGCGCGAGCGUUGUCCGGAAUUAUUGGGCGUAAAGAGCUCGUAGGCGGCUUGUCGCGUCGGUUGUGAAAGCCCGGGGCUUAACCCCGGGUCUGCAGUCGAUACGGGCAGGCUAGAGUUCGGUAGGGGAGAUCGGAAUUCCUGGUGUAGCGGUGAAAUGCGCAUAUAUCAGGAGGAACACCGGUGGCGAAGGCGGAUCUCUGGGCCGAUACUGACCCUGAGGAGCGAAAAGCCUGGGG
rnacentral:rRNA from 1 species